rnacentral:rRNA from 1 species
CUAUCCUACGGGGCGCAGCAGUGGGGGAUAUUGCACAAUGGGGGGAACCCUGAUGCAGCGACGCCGCGUGGGCGAUGGAGUGCUUCGGCAUGUAAAGCCCUAUCAGCAGGGAAGAAAAUGACGGUACCUGACUAAGAAGCCCCGGCUAUAUACGUGCCAGCAGCCGCGGUAAUACGUAUGGGGAGAGCGUUAUCCGGAUUUACUGGGGGUAAAGGGAGCGUAGGCGGCCU